rnacentral:rRNA from 1 species
GGGAAUAUUGGACAAUGGGCGCAAGCCUGAUCCAGCCAUGCCGCGUGAGUGAAGAAGGCCUUAGGGUUGUAAAUCUCUUUCGGCGGGGAAGAUAAUGACGGUACCCGCAGAAGAAGCCCCGGCUAACUCCGUGCCAGCAGCCGCGGUAAUACGGAGGGGGCUAGCGUUGUUCGGAAUUACUGGGCGUAAAGGGCACGUAGGCUGGCUGUUAAGUCGGGGGUGAAAUCCUGAGGCUCAACCUCAGAAUUGCCUCCGAUACUGGCGGUCUUGAGUGCGGGAGAGGUGAGUGGAAUUCCCAGUGUAGAGGUGAAAUUCGUAGAUAUUGGGAGGAACACCGGUGGCGAAGGCGGCUCUCUGGACCGGUUACUGACGCUGAGGCGCGAAAGCUAGGGGAGCAAA